UGGGGAAUUUUGGACAAUGGGCGAAAGCCUGAUCCAGCAAUGCCGCGUGUGUGAAGAAGGCCUUCGGGUUGUAAAGCACUUUUGUCCGGAAAGAAAUCCUUGGCUCUAAUACAGUCGGGGGAUGACGGUACCGGAAGAAUAAGCACCGGCUAACUACGUGCCAGCAGCCGCGGUAAUACGUAGGGUGCAAGCGUUAAUCGGAAUUACUGGGCGUAAAGCGUGCGCAGGCGGUUUGCUAAGACCGAUGUGAAAUCCCCGGGCUCAACCUGGGAACUGCAUUGGUGACUGGCAGGCUAGAGUAUGGCAGAGGGGGGUAGAAUUCCACGUGUAGCAGUGAAAUGCGUAGAGAUGUGGAGGAAUACCGAUGGCGAAGGCAGCCCCCUGGGCCAAUACUGACGCUCAUGCACGAAAGCGUGGGGAGCAAACAGGAUUAGAUACCCUGGUAGUCCACGCCCUAAACGAUGUCAACUAGUUGUGGGGAUUCAUUCCUUAGUAACGUAGCUAACGCGUGAAGUUGACCGCCUGGGGAGUACGGUCGCAAGAUU
rnacentral:rRNA from 1 species